AAAAAGGCAAAUCUUAGGUUUUAUGUCUAACUUUGACUGUCCGUCUUAUAUAAAUUUUUUUUAUAAUUCAUAUUUUCAUUGUUGUUAGAUGAUAAAACAUAAUUAAUAUUUUAUGCGUGACUUGUCUUUUUAAUUUUUUCAUAAUUUUUUCAAAUAAGACGGACGGUCAAAUGUUGGGCACGAAAACC
rnacentral:pre_miRNA from 1 species